UACGGGGGGAGCAAGCGUUGUUCGGAUUUACUGGGCGUAAAGGGCGCGUAGGCGGCCACCGCAAGUCGAUUGUGAAAUCUCCGGGCUUAACCCGGAAAGGUCAACCGAUACUGCGGGGCUAGAGUGCGGAAGGGGCAACUGGAAUUCUUGGUGUAGCGGUGAAAUGCGUAGAUAUCAGGAGGAACACCGGUGGCGAAGGCGGUCUCUGGGCCUUACCUGACACUGAGGAGCGAAAGCGUGGGGAGCGAACAGG
rnacentral:rRNA from 1 species